rnacentral:lncRNA from 1 species
GGAAAAGAUAAUCCACUUUAAAACAAAUUUUAUUUAUUUAAACAUUGCAGUAAAUGUGAGUGACUGUCUGCAAUCAAUACCUGGUCUAAGAGACACUGAGAAAGAGAUAAGUUCUUAUUGACAAGAACGUUCAAGGUUGCUGUAUAAUAGUUCAUCUCAAGAAAGAUUUCCCAUAUGCUGUUGAGAGGAAAAUGAUUUGAGAGAGAAAACCUUCAUGAAUAGGAAAAAAAGGAAGAGUUAUAGGGGACUAAUGAUCCAAUUAAUCCCUUAAUAUCCUGUUUUUUACUAGAAGAUCUACUCAAAUAGAUGGUAUAACAUGAAACUUCUUUGUGACAUCACAUCACUCUGGCAGAUUUAUAAUAGUCACAAUUCCCAGACCAACUUGCUUCUUAAAGGAGUCUGCCUUCCUUCUGAGCAUUUCAAAUCACAUAGGCACAAUGCCAUUCAAUCUUCCUUUUACUGA